rnacentral:rRNA from 1 species
UAUCAAUAAGCGGAGGAAAAGAAACCAACAGGGAUUGCCCUAGUAACGGCGAGUGAAGCGGCAACAGCUCAAAUUUGAAAUCUGGCCUCUUGGGGGUCCGAGUUGUAAUUUGUAGAGGAUGUUUCGGGUACCGCCUCGGUUUAAAUUUCUUGGAACAGAAUGUCAGAGAGGGUGAGAAUCCCGUCUUGGACCGGCGGUAGGGCCCAUGUGAAACUCCUUCGACGAGUCGAGUUGUUUGGGAAUGCAGCUCAAAAUGGGUGGUAAAUUUCAUCUAAAGCUAAAUAUUGGCCAGAGACCGAUAGCGCACAAGUAGAGUGAUCGAAAGAUGAAAAGAACUUUGAAAAGAGAGUUAAACAGUAUGUGAAAUUGUUGAAAGGGAAGCGCUUGCAACCAGACUUGAGCGCGGCGGUUCCCCCUUCCUUUUGGUUGGGUUACUCCGCCGUGUCCAGGCCAACAUCGGUUCUGGGGGUCGGUUAAAGGCCCGGGGAAUGUAUCUACUCCUCCGGGGGUAGACUUAUAGCCCCGGGUGUCAUGCGACCACCCGGGACCGAGGAACGCGCUUCGGCUCGGAUGUUGGCGUAAUGGUUGUCAACGACCCGUCUUGAAACACGG